rnacentral:tRNA from 4 species
UCCCCAGUAGCUCAGCGGUAGAGCGCUCGACUGUUAAUCGAUCGGUCGCAAGUUCGAAUCUUGCCUGGGGAGCCA